rnacentral:misc_RNA from 1 species
GUCCACGAAUCCCAGUCGGUUGGGGUGCAUAGGAGGGAAACGGUGAACUCGCGUGUGUACCUGCUCGGUACUCGCUUGGAAAGGUUAUCUCUGAGACCGUAUAUAUACUCGUGUAACUCCGCGAACGCGGUAUCGUUCGGUGUUUCGAUCGUUCACCCUGGAGGCUGACACGGAGAACACGAGGAUGGAUGCCACGGACGUCCUCGACAGCGACAGAACGGGCAACGACGACGUUAUGCACAACAACGGCAGCAACAAUAACAACAACAAUGAUGACGACGAGGCGCCCACCGUGGAGGAAACGUACGAGGUCACCACCACGAAACGCAAAACCAUACGGACCAGCUAUAAAAUCCAAGAAACUUCUGCAUCAACCAAAACUACCACCAUGACAACUGCAGCUAAGUUAUAUGGCAAGGAUUUGAGUGAAUAUGACGAUGUGGAUGUGGAUGACUUGUUGGCACAGCUUACUCCAGAAGAAAUUAAUAUGUUGGCCAAGGAAGUAGAUCCUGACGACAGCUUUAUGCCACCCUCGCAACGUUGUAGUUAUGAAUGUGACAAGAGUCCAACCGGUCCCCUAAAUCGUAAGAAACUAAUUGAACACAUCAAUAAACAGGCCUUAGAAACACCAGACAUACCAGAAUUAAAGCCUUAUGUACCUGGUACUAUAAGAGGCAAGAAGUGGAUUCCACCUCCUCAGGAAACUGUAAAAGAAAAAGAAGCAGAUGAACAAAUUGCUAUUGAUCUUGGAGAUGAAUAUGAGCAAGCAUUAUCUAAUGCUAGUCAAGAAGAAAUUAUUGAUCUUGCUGCUAUCCUUGGAUUCCAUUCCAUGAUGAAUCAAGAUCAGUAUCAUGCCUCCUUAUUAAACUCUGGUCAGCCUGUGGGCUUGGGGUGGGAUGGAGUUACAAAAGCUAGUCAACCAAAACCUUACCCGAUGGAACCACCUAAUGAUACAGAUGUUGACGCCACUAUCAAACAAGUUAGAGAAGACUAUGCGUCAUUGAUUGACUUAAACUGGAAUAACAUUAAGAAUAUAUCUGACGAAAAGUUUAUUCAACUAUUUGAAGGACUGGAGAUGAAUACACAUCUCGAAUCCUUAAGUUUAACAAAUGUGGGACUCAACGAUAAGACUGCACAAAGGUUGGCAGAAGCCUUAGAGAAAAAUUCUACGCUCAGAGUACUCAAUGUUGAAACAAACUUUAUAAGCCCAUCUGUGAUAGUGAGGCUCAUCAGGGCACUCCUUAAAACGAAAUCAAUAGAAGAAUUUCGAUGUUCCAAUCAGAGGUCACAAGUGUUGGGAAACAAAAUCGAAAUGGAAAUUACACAGUUGGUAGAACAGAAUCCAACCUUGCUUCGACUUGGUCUUCACUUGGAGUUCAAUGAUGCUAGACAUCGUGUGGCUGCACACUUGCAACGCAACAUUGAUAGGAUACGGAAAGACCUAACGCUGCGGCUACAGUUCCGAUUCUUUAACAUGAACCACAGGAAACCUGCCUUGAUUCAAUGAAAGUACGGCAGUCCCGGCUCGGGGUGGCGACAUCUUAACGCGAAGUGGCGUUCGCCUAGAUCGCCUGCACCGCACGGGAA